GAGAAGGGAGACAGUGCCAGAACCCUGGGGUUUGGGUAUUUGAUGGCGCUCUGAGCAAUACUAUCAUGGUAGAUCUUGUCCUGGAGCUUAGGGCAGUGAUGGUGUCCACUAUAAUGAUGGUCUUUGUCAUCAUGUAUUUGUUCAAAGCUGAGAGCAGACUGUGAUGUAGAAACGUCAAUUGUGACCACUAGGUGACAGUGUGCUGUUAUAGGUUUACCACUGAGCUAGCUAAAGGUUCUCUGCUGAGGACAGGAGUGGGCACUUGGAUGAAGAAAUGGCAUAUACAGUUCUGUACUUUCUGCUACAUUUUAUCUCUGUGUGAAAUCGCUUUAAAAUAGUGUUUAUAGCUGUGCACUGAAAUGCACACCUGUAAUUCCAGUACUUGGGAAAUAGAGGCAGGGAUUGCUGUGAGUUCAAGGUACACAAGAAGACUGUCUCAAAAUAAAACAAAGUGUUUACACAAAU
rnacentral:lncRNA from 1 species